rnacentral:rRNA from 1 species
UACGUAGGGGGCAAGCGUUGUCCGGAAUUAUUGGGCGUAAAGCGCGCGUAGGCGGUUAGAUAAGUUGGAUGUGAAAGGCUACGGCUCAACCGUAGAGCGGCAUCCAAAACUGUUUAACUUGAGUGCAGCAGAGGAGAGUGGAAUUCCCGGUGUAGCGGUGGAAUGCGUAGAGAUCGGGAGGAACACCAGUGGCGAAGGCGACGCUCUGGGCUGUAACUGACGCUGAGGUGCGAAAGCGUGGGGAGCGAACAGG